AUGGGACGCGGCCCGGCUCAAAGGACUGAAGGCGCCGCCGUCUCUCAUGCCUUACUCUUUCUCGUCGAAACCCGACACCUUGACGGUACCGAUGGACCUGAGAUCGAUGAUGGAUCCGUCCAAGGAGACAGGCAGUUGCCCCUCAUGUCCAGUGGUGAGGCCACGGAGAUCGAGCUGCUGCCACUGCCCAUUUGCGGCCGUCGAAGGGCAAUGCGGAGCGCGAACUCCUUGUCUGGGAUGGAGGAGCUGGAUUCCUCCCUGAGGAGUGCCGGCCAGUCGAUUGGGUUGGACUUGUUGUCGGAUUCGCUGCUGGAGCCAGCCAUGGUGGAGGGAAUGGGAGGGGAAAGGAGAAGACAUGCGGUACAAACGGAGCGGUCGACAGAGUGUGAACUUUGA
rnacentral:rRNA from 1 species